UUGCAAAUUUCAAUCACUCAAUCAAAUCUUUAAUCAUCUUUGAAGCGGAGGGAGCCAGGUCACCUCGCUUCCCGCUAUCUUCUUCUUUUCAUUCAAUAUCUUCCGCGGCGGGGAGCAGUAUAAGAUAGAAUAAUUGAGUGGGCUCCCCCCCCUACAGCCUGAGGAGCUGAUGUUGUAAAAUUGACUAACCUGAGUCAUCGUUGUUGCAG
ensembl:ncRNA F01G12.14 ncRNA